UGAGGAAUAUUGGUCAAUGGGCGCAAGCCUGAACCAGCCAAGUCGCGUGAAGGAAGACGGCCCUAUGGGUUGUAAACUUCUUUAGGGUGGGAACAAAGGACGCCACGCGUGGCGAGAUGAGUGUACCACCAGAAUAAGCACCGGCUAAAUACGUGCCAGCAGCCGCGGUAAUACGUAUGGUGCAAGCGUUAUCCGGAUUUACUGGGUGUAAAGGGAGCGCAGACGGCAUGGCAAGCCAGAUGUGAAAGGUGGGGGCUCAACCCCCAAGCUGCAUUUGGAACUGUCAAGCUAGAGUAUCGGAGAGGUAAGUGGAAUUCCUAGUGUAGCGGUGAAAUGCGUAGAUAUUAGGAGGAACACCAGUGGCGAAGGCGGCUUACUGGACGAUAACUGACGUUGAGGCUCGAAAGCGUGGGGAGCAAACAGGAUUAGAUACCCUGGUAGU
rnacentral:rRNA from 1 species